AGUGAACGCUGGCGGUAGGCCUAACACAUGCAAGUCGAACGGCAGCACAGUAAGAGCUUGCUCUUACGGGUGGCGAGUGGCGGACGGGUGAGGAAUACAUCGGAAUCUACUUUUUCGUGGGGGAUAACGUAGGGAAACUUACGCUAAUACCGCAUACGACCUACGGGUGAAAGCAGGGGAUCUUCGGACCUUGCGCGAUUGAAUGAGCCGAUGUCGGAUUAGCUAGUUGGCGGGGUAAAGGCCCACCAAGACGACGAUCCGUAGCUGGUCUGAGAGGAUGAUCAGCCACACUGGAACUGAGACACGGUCCAGACUCCUACGGGAGGCAGCAGUGGGGAAUAUUGGGCAAUGGGCGCAAGCCUGAUCCAGCCAUACCGCGUGGGUGAAGAAGGCCUUCGGGUUGUAAAGCCCUUUUGUUGGGAAAGAAAAGCAGCAGGUUAAUACCCCGCUGUUCUGACGGUACCCAAAGAAUAAGCACCGGCUAACUUCGUG
rnacentral:rRNA from 1 species